rnacentral:lncRNA from 1 species
AGAUUGUAGCAGUUUGUAAGAGUAUCCGGAAUGAUCCCUUGCAGUGAGUUGCCCGACAAGUCAAGGUACUCCAGUCUUUGGAGACGGUUGAGAGGAGGUAUCUCGCCGGUGAAGCCAUUACUGGACAGGUCCAGUCUCCUAACUCCUAAGGAACGUUAGAUUCCCGAGGGACGGUGAAAUCGUGCCUGACAGCGAUAGGGAGUGAAGGUCCAGCUCCAUGACUCGCCCUGGGUGCUUCGGGCUGCUGCAGACGACGCCCUUCCAUGUGCAAAGGGGGACACCGGCGUGCCAAGAUCUCAAGGCUUGCCUUGAGUCGUUGGUGAUGGCCCGCUUGAAAUCUAGCAGCGAGAUCAUGUCCGUGCUGUUGUCAUGGACUGCCGUCGAGGAGCAGCGGAUGCUGCCGACUCCACAACAAAUGGGCAGCAGCGACAGUAACUUGAGGAUGGUGGUGAGUCUGGCGGGUUGACUGGUACACGUAAGACCUCCCUUACCUGCAAGAGUGACGAAUUCAGAAAACAUUAGAACUCAUGCAUGUAAAGAAAGAGUUUGCUGGUAGCCGCUACGGCUAUCAUAGCACAGAGGUUUGAUUUUGUGAAAUGGUUGGUAGCAAGCAGAAAACCGACGGCAAGACGAAAGAUGAAUGUUUGGACACCUUUGCUUGGCCGGAUCGGACGAAACGGCAGCCUUUCUUGCAUGGCUUUGCUGCCGGGUGGUGAGGUCUGAGGGGUGUGUGUGCCACUGGCAGCUAUGAGUUGGAACGUUGGACUGGAUGCUCAGCUGGUUGAGGCCCCGGCCGGGGUUUAAAAAGACUCUUCUAACGUCACCGCGCGCGUUCCCACACUUAUUAGCCUUGUGACCAUGUCUGACCGGAAGGAAGACCUCAAGUCCGUCAACCUCAAGACCUCAAGUCCACCACCGGUCAAGUAAAUACUACUCCCUCCGUAUGUAGUCACUUGUUAAAAUGCCUAAAAAGACAAGUAUUUAGAAACGGAGGGAGUAGAAACUAGCAGCGCGCGACGCGACCCAGCCAGUCUCCGCGGAGCCCUCCAAGGCGGGGUACCAAGGAAGGAGGGGGCCCCAUCACGUGGAGGAAUUAAAAUCAGCUGCAUGCGCAUCUUGUGGUUGCCCGGCAACACAUCUGGUGAUACGGCAUCACAGGUGAUACGAUGCUCCAAUUGACCCUGGACCGUUUGAUCUUGUUGGAAGGGACACGAUGAAUGCACACGUGUCGGGCAGCUCCCCCACCGUGAAAUAUACAAAAACAUCCUGAUUCAUGUCUUUAAUUAAGCUUGAGGCCAUCCGGUCCUUUUUAGUCCGCAUAUAAGUUUUGUCCAAAGUCAAAAUAUCUUUAUUUUGAUCAAACUUAUUAGAAAAAGUAUCAACAUUCACAAUGCCAAGCCAAUGUUAUUAGAUUCAUUUUGAAAUGUUAUUAGAUUCCUUAUGAAACCUUCAAACACUCAAUCUCUCAUGAUGCCAUGCACUCGAGUAUCUUCCACAGAGCCUUGGAAACCUGAAAAUCACUGGAAGACGUUUUUAAGGUUAUGGAUACAAGAGCAUCAAGUCUUUGCCACGGCGUAUAGAACAACUCACCAGUCCCCUGGUGUUGCAAAAAUGCGGACAUCAGUGAGCUGAGGCUGUUGUGUGAACCAGGCUAUCCCGCGUCAAAAAUAUUGUAAGCGUUCUACCAAGCUUUAUUAUCUAAAUGUACCACGGCUAGUGCACGCAGACGAUGAGCUACGGCCGGGCGUCGUCUUCCGGUCGACGCGCCGCAGCUCGCCCUGCAGCCACAUUCUACUUCGGCGUGUGCUUGACGCCAUCUUCGGGCAACAUUUCAACGCGCGACCCUAAAUGGUCUGGCCGUAUCCGUUUGGGGGUAAACGAACAUAACAGACUGCCCAACGCAUGAAAGCAAAUAGACCAAUGUCCGCUUUGAGUCCGCUUUCGACCCAUUCUAGGCCCAAAUUUCGGCCGCGCUUGUGUCAAAACGGACAGCGCGCGGACGGGCGGGACGCGCACCCUUCUCCUCCCCUGGACAGCCCGUCAGGGACAUGCCCGCCCACUUUCCCUCCAUUUCGCCCAAAACCCAACCGCGCCCUUUCCCUCUCCCUCCACCAUUGCUGGUGGCCCGACGAAUCCCGGCGACCCGGCCGCGGUCGCGCUCCCCAUGAUGAAGAAGAAGCCUGCCAAGAAGCCGCGGUCGGAGCUCACAUCGGCAGAGGUCGCCAAGCUCGACGCCGAAUCAGCCAAGAGGAGGAACCGGCAGAUGAAGGUGGCGGAGAAGAAGGUCGCUACCGACUACGUCGCGGAGGCGGCCGUGCUUCUUGCCACACAUCACCAGGGCUACAUCGAGGACAAGGAGUCUAUAGUCGCCAAGGCACACGCCCUCCUCAUGCUAGGGUUGUGCCGACUCCCGCCGGUCAUUAUCUCAGUCACUGCCAUGGCUGCGGCCAGCACAGGCUCGUCGACCGUUCGUCCUCCACAGCACCAGUCCCCGAGCUCGCCCGUCGCACCUGAGACACCAGGGUAUCGUGCGGUGCCGCUGCUUAGCCAUGGGCACACACGGUUCUCUACGUCGCCGAACUGUAGGAUGUUCACUCUGGCCACGCCCUCGGGCAUUAUCGAUCAACGUCAUGCCGGGGUACAGUGGCGAUGGCCAGCCGUCCGACGGGACGCAAAUGAAGCAGCUCCGGUCGAUCCCUUCGGCCAACAUGGCCGUCGCUCGCAGGCUGUUCGACGAAAUGCCACUGACGACGCCGACGAUCGACGACCCUGACUACGCGACGCUCACGUAGAACGUCAUCUUGGAGGGCCAUGGUGAGGCUUUCCACGUCGACGGCCAAGGCCAGGCUUUUGAUCCCGAUGCGACCCAAAGCCAGGACGACCGUGACCACUAUGAUGACACUCAAUUCGCGGGGCAUGAUGAAGAUGAGGACGACCAUGGCAACUCAUGGCAUGAAGGUGAUUACCUGUAUUGUGAGGAUGAGGAAGAGGAGGUCGACAUUUCGGUGGAGCCAUUGGUGUUUAUCGAUGAGCUCACCCAGAGGGCCGAAGCACAAAAGAAGAGGCAAAGCAUUCACACGGGAUCAUACACUCAAGAAGAGGACACUUUGAUUUGCGAGAAUUGGAUGGAGAUGGGCUAAGAUCCCAUGAAAGGUGCCGAGCAAAAAUGAUCCAUCUUUUGGACUAGAGUUCAUAAGAACUUUCACCAGCAAAGGAAGUUUCCCCCCUACCAAUUUGCAAGCACCCGCGGCAUCAAUUCAAUCCAAAAGAGAUGGGGGUUCAUUCAACAACAGUGGAACAAGUAUUGUGUUGCUCUUGAGAGCGUUGAAGCCCAUCCGUGAGUGGCCUAGGCAUUGGUGACUUGGUAUGGACCUCUUGUUUUUUCAUCUUUGUGUCAUUUCAUGUUGGCAUGCCAUUUAUGUUUGAUGCAUCUUGUGUCCUUCCAUGUUACAAUUGCGGCCACAUCUUUAAUUGUGUAGGCAAUCCAAUCUUUGGAAGUCUUCAAGGCCCGACACAAGUACAAGCCAUUUACUCUCACGGAUUGUUGGUCGCGUACCAAAGAUUACCUCAAGUUCAAAGACGAGGGAGACUUGCUCAAGAGGCCGAGGGGCAAGACAAGCUCGAAGGCCGACGAGAAGCGUGAUGCGUCUUACAUAGUCUUGCAAGGAACUUUGGAAAACAUGAUGAGUCGAAAAGAAGUGAGGGAGCAGAGGAGGAGCAAAUGAAAAUAUACCUAUAUCUUCAAACGAAGAAGCUUGACAUGGAGGAGGCUGCGAAGAGGAGGAAGCUUGACAUCGAGGAGGCCGCUCGACUCAAGAAGCUCAAGAUCGGGGCCACCAAUGCCGAGACCAAAGCAAAAAAGGUGGCACUCGUGAUCAUGAGCGUCAACAAAAACAACAUGUCACCAAAGAGGAAGGCUUGGUUCGCGAACCGGCAGAAGGAGAUGUUUCCUCGUGAUGGCCUGAAGUAGGUGAGACCUCGGCCAUGGACUGUGACCAUUCAUUUUGAAGGCUGGAUGGUGUGUCGGCCACUGGCUUUGCCGCCGGCACUAAAAACUUGUCCAUUUUGAAGACUAACUCAUGUGCCGGCCGCUGGCUUUUGUUGGGGAUCGUAGCAGAAAUUUAAAAUUUUCUACGCAUCACCAAGAUCCAUCUAUGGAGUUUACUAGCAACAAGAAGGAAGGAGUGCAUCUACAUACCCUUGUAGAUCGCGAGCGGAAGCGUUCAAGUGAACGGGGUUGAUGGAGUCGUACUCGUCGUGAUACAAAUCACCGAUGACCGAGCGCCGAACGGACGGCACCUCCGCGUUCAACACACGUACGGAGCAACGACGUCUCCUCCUUCUUGAUCCAGCAAGGGGGAAGGAGAGGUUGAUGGAGAUCCAGCAGCACGACGGCGUGGUGGUGGAAGUAGCGGCGAUCCCGGCAGGGCUUCGCCAAGCGCAAGCGGGAGGGAGAGGUGUCACGGGAGGGAGAGGGAGGCGCCAGGGGCUGUGGUGCGGCUGCCCUCCCUCCCCCCCACUAUUUAUAGGGGUCCUGGGGGGCGCCGGCCCCCUGGAGAUCCCAUCUGAGGGGGGGGGGGCGGCGGCCAAGGGGGUGGCUUGCCCCCCAAGCCAAGUGGGGCGCCCCCCACCCCCAGGGUCUCCAACCCUAGGCGCAGGGGAGGCCCAAGGGGGGCCCACCAGCCCACCAGUGGCUGGUUCCCCUCCCCACUUCAGCCCAUGGGGCCCUUCGGGACAGGUGGCCUCAGCCGGUGGACCCCCGGGACCCUUCCGGUGGUCCCGGUACAAUACCGGUAACCCCCGAAACUUUCCCGGUGGCCGAAACUGGACUUCCUAUAUAUAAUUCUUCACCUCCGGACCAUUCCGGAACUCCUCGUGACGUCCGGGAUCUCAUCCGGGACUCCGAACAACUUUUGGGUUUCCGCAUACUAAUAUCUCUACAACCCUAGCGUCACCGAACCUUAAGUGUGUAGACCCUACGGGUUCGGGAGACAUGCAGACAUGAUCGAGACGACUCUCAGAUCAAUAACCAACAGCAGGAUCUGGAUACCCAUGUUGGCUCCCACAUGUUCCACGAUGAUCUCAUCGGAUGAACCACGAUGUAGAGGAUUCAAUCAAUCCCGUAUACAAUUCCCUUUGUCAAUCGGUACGUUACUUGCCCGAGAUUCGAUCGUCGGUAUCCCAAUACCUCGUUCAAUCUCGUUACCGGCAAGUUACUUUACUCGUACUAUAAUGCAUGAUCCCGUGACCAGACACUUGGUCACAUUGAACUCAUUAUGAUGAUGCAUUACCGAGUGGGCCCAGAGAUACCUCUCCGUCAUACGGAGUGACAAAUCCCAGUCUCGAUCCAUGUCAACCCAACAGACACUUUCAGAGAUACCUGUAGUGUACCUUUAUAGUCACCCAGUUACGUUGUGACGUUUGGUACACCCAAAGCACUCUUACGGCAUCCGGGAGUUACACGAUCUCAUGGUCUAAGGAAAAGAUACUUGACAUUGGAAAAGCUCUAGCAAACGAACUACACGAUCUUUGCGCUAUGCUUAGGAUUGGGUCUUGUCCAUCACAUCAUUCUCCUAAUGAUGUGAUCCCGUUAUCAAUGACAUCCAAUGUCCAUAGUCAGGAAACCAUGACUAUCUGUUGAUCAACGAGCUAGUCAACUAGAGGCUCACUAGGGACAUGUUGUGGUCUAUGUAUUCACACAUGUAUUACGAUUUCCGGAUAACACAAUUAUAGCAUGAACAAUAGACAAUUAUCAUGAACAAAGAAAUAUAAUAAUAACCAUUUUAUUAUUGCCUCUAGGGCAUAUUUCCAACAGUCUCCCACUUGCACUAGAGUCAAUAAUCUAGUUACAUUGUGAUGAAUCGAACACCCAUAGAGUUCUGGUGUUGAUCAUGUUUUGCUCUAGGGAGAGGUUUAGUCAACGGAUCUGCUACAUUCAGGUCCGUAUGUACUUUACAAAUAUCUAUGUCUCCAUUUUGAACACUUUCACGAAUGGAGUUGAAGCGACGCUUGAUAUGCCUGGUCUUCCUGUGAAACCUGGGCUCCUUGGCAAGGGCAAUAGCUCCAGUGUUGUCACAGAAGAGAGUCAUUGGGCCCGACGCAUUGGGAAUCACCCCUAGGUCGGUAAUGAACUCCUUUAUCCAGAUUGCUUCCUGUGCUGCCUCUGAGGCCACCAUGUACUCCGCUUCACAUGUAGAUCCCGCCACGACGCUUUGCUUGCAACUGCACCAGCGUACUGCCCCUCCAUUCAAAAUAUACACGUAUCCGGUCUGUGACUUAGAGUCAUCCAGAUCUGUGUCGAAGCUAGCGUCGACGUAACCCUUUACGACGAGCUCUUCGUCACCUCCAUAUACGAGAAACAUAUCCUUAGUCCUCUUUAGGUACUUCAGGAUAUUCUUGACCGCUGUCCAGUGUUCCAUGCCGGGAUUACUUUGGUACCUUCCUACCAAACUUACGGCAAGGUUUACAUCAGGUUUGGUACACAGCAUGGCAUACAUAAUAGACCCUAUGGCCGAGGCAUAGGGGAUGACACUCAUCUUUUCUCUAUCUUCUGCCGUGGUCGGGCAUUGAGCCGUGCUCAAUUGCACACCUUGCAAUACAGGCAAGAACCCCUUCUUGGACUGAUCCAUAUUGAACUUCUUCAAUAUCUUGUCAAGGUAUGUACUCUGUGAAAGACCAAUGAGGCGUCUUGAUCUAUCUCUAUAGAUCUUGAUGCCUAAUAUAUAAGCAGCUUCUCCAAGGUCCUUCAUUGAAAAACAUUCAUUCAAGUAGGCCUUUAUACUUUCCAAGAAUUCUAUAUCAUUUCCCAUCAAUAGUAUGUCAUCCACAUAUAAUAUGAGAAAUGCUACAGAGCUCCCACUCACUUUCUUGUAAACACAGGCUUCUCCAUAAGUCUGUGUAAACCCAAACGCUUUGAUCAUCUCAUCAAAUCGAAUGUUCCAACUCCGAGAUGCUUGCACCAGCCCAUAGAUGGAGCGCUGGAGCUUGCAUACCUUGUUAGCAUUCUUAGGAUCGACAAAACCUUCCGGAUGCAUCAUAUACAAUUCUUCCUUAAGAAAGCCGUUAAGGAAUGCCGUUUUGACGUCCAUUUGCCAUAUCUCAUAAUCAUAGAAUGCGGCAAUUGCUAACAUGAUUCGGACGGACUUCAGCUUCGCUACGGGUGAGAAAGUCUCAUCGUAGUCAACCCCUUGAACUUGUCGAUAACCCUUAGCGACAAGUCGAGCCUUAUAGAUGGUCACGUUACCAUCCGCGUCUGUCUUCUUCUUAAAGAUCCAUUUAUUUUCUAUGGCUCGCCGAUCAUCGGGCAAGUCAGUUAAAGUCCAUACUUCGUUUUCAUACAUGGAUCCUACCUCGGAUUGCAUGGCUUCUAGCCAUUUGUUGGAAUCCGGGCCCGCCAUCGCUUCUUCAUAGUUCGAAGGUUCACCGUUGUCUAACAACAAGAUUUCCAGGACAGGGUUGCCGUACCACUCUGGUGCGGAACGUAUCCUUGUGGACCUACGAAGUUCAGCAGUAACUUGAUCCGAAGCUUCAUGAUCAUCAUCAUUAACUUCCUCCCAAGUCGGUGUAGGCACCACAGGAACAUCUUCCCGCGCUGCGCUACUUUCUGGUUCGGAAGGGGUGACUAUCACCUCAUCAAGUUCCACUUUCCUCCCACUCAAUUCUUUCGAGAGAAACUCUUUCUCCAGAAAGGACCCGUUCUUGGCAACAAAGAUUUUGCCUUUAGAUCUGAGGUAGAAGGUAUACCCAAUGGUUUCCUUAGGGUAUCCUAUGAAGACGCAUUUUUCCGGCUUGGGUUCGAGCUUUUCAGGUUGAAGUUUCUUGACAUAAGCAUCGCAUCCCCAAACUUUUGGAAACGACGGCUUAGGUUUCUUCCCAAACCAUAAUUCAUACGGUGUCGUCUCAACGGAUUUCGACGGAGCCCUAUUUAAAGUGAAUGCGGCAGUCUCUAAAGCAUAGCCCCAAAAUGAGAGCGGUAGAUCGGUAAGAGACAUCAUAGAUCGCACCAUAUCCAAUAGAGUGCGAUUACGACGUUCGGACACACCAUUUCGCUAAGGUGUUCCAGUCAGCGUGAGUUGUGAAACUAUUCCACAUUUCCUUAAGUUUGUGCCAAAUUCGUGACUCAAAUAUUCCCCUCCAUGAUCUAAUCGUAAGAACUUUAUUUUCCUGUCACGUUGAUUCUCAACCUCACUCUGAAAUUCCUUGAACCUUUCAAAGGUCUCAGACUUGUGUUUCAUUAGGUAGACAUACCCAUAUCUACUUAAGUCAUCAGUGAGAGUGAGAACAUAACGAUAGCCUCCGCGAGCCUCAACACUCAUUGGACCGCACACAUCGGUAUGUAUGAUUUCCAAUAAGUUGGUUGCUCGCUCCAUUGUUCCGGAGAACGGAGUCUUGGUCAUCUUACCCAUGAGGCAUGGUUCGCACGUGUCAAAUGAUUCAUAAUCAAGAGACUCCAAAAGUCCAUCUGCAUGGAGCUUCUUCAUGCGUUUGACACCAAUGUGACCAAGGCGGCAGUGCCACAAGUAUGUGGGACUAUCGUUAUCAACUUUACAUCUUUUGGUAUUCACACUAUGAAUAUGUGUAACAUCACGUUCGAGAUUCAUUAAGAAUAAACCAUUGACCAGAGGGGCAUGACCAUAAAACAUAUCUCUCAUAUAAAUAGAACAACCAUUAUUCUCAGAUUUAAAUGAGUAGCCAUCUCGAAUUAAACGAGAUCCUGAUACAAUGUUCAUGCUCAAAGCUGGCACUAAAUAACAAUUAUUGAGGUUUAAAACUAAUCCCGUAGGUAAAUGUAGAGGUAGCGUGCCGACGGCGAUCACAUCGACCUUGGAACCAUUCCCGACGCGCAACGUCACCUCGUCCUUCGCCAGUCUCCGCUUAUUUCGCAGCUCCUGUUUUGAGUUACAAAUAUGAGCAACUGCACCGGUAUCAAAUACCCAGGAGCUACUACGAGUACUGGUAAGGUACACAUCAAUUACAUGUAUAUCACAUAUACCUUUGGUGUUGCCGGCCUUCUUGUCCGCUAACUAUUUGGGGCAGUUCCGCUUGCAGUGACCACUUUCCUUGCAAUAAAAGCACUCAGUCUCAGGCUUGGGUCCAUUCUUUGGCUUCUUCCCGGCAACUGCCUUACCGGGCGCGCAACUCCCUUGCCGUCCUUCUUGAAGUUCUUCUUACCCUUGCCUUUCUUGAACUUAGUGGUUUUAUUCACCAUCAACACUUGAUGUUCCUUUCUGAUCUCCACCUCCGCUGAUUUCAGCAUUGAAUAUACCUCAGGAAUGGUCUUUUCCAUCCCCUGCAUAUUGAAGUUCAUCACAAAGCUCUUUUAGCUCGGUGGAAGCGACUGAAGGAUUCUGUCAAUGACCACGUCAUCCGGGAGAUUAACUCCCAGCUGAGUCAAACGGUUGUGCAACCCAGACAUUUUGAGUAUGUGCUCACUGACAGAACUGUUUUCCUCCAUCUUACAACUGAAGAACUUGUCUGAGACUUCAUAUCUCUCGACCCGGGCAUGAGCUUGGAAAACCAUUUUCAGCUCUUCGAACAUCUCAUAUGCUCCGUGUCGCUCAAAACGCUUUUGGAGCCCCGGUUCUAAGCUGUAAAGCAUGCCGCACUGAACGAGGGAGUAAUCAUCAGCACGUGACUGCCAAGCGUUCAUAACGUCUUGGUUCUCUGGGAUUGGUGCUUCACCUAGCGGUGCUUCUAGGACAUAAUCUUUCUUGGCAGCUAUGAGGAUGAUCCUCAGGUUCUGGACCGAGUCCGUAUAGUUGCUGUCAUCAUCUUUCAGCUUGGUUUCUCUAGGAACGCGGUGAAGUUGAGGGCAACGUGGGCCAUUUGAUCUACAAGACAUAUUGUAAAUAUUUAUAGACUAAGUUCAUGAUAAUUAAGUUCAUCUAAUCAAAAUAUUCAAUGAACUCCCACUCAGAUAGACAUCCCUCUAGUCAUCUAAGUGAAACAUGAUCCGAGUCAACUAGGCCGUGUCCGAUCAUCACGUGAGACGGACUAGUCAAUAUCGGUGAACAUCUUCAUGUUGAUCGUAUCUUCUAUACGACUCAUGCUCGACCUUUCGGUCUUCCGUGUUCCGAGGCCAUGUCUGUACAUGCUAGGCUCGUUAAGUCAACCUAAGUGUAUUGCGUGUGUUCCGAGGCCAUGUCUGUACAUGCUAGGCUCGUCAACACCCGUUGUAUGCGAACGUUAGAAUCUAUCACACCCGAUCAUCACGUGGUGCUUCGAAACAACGAACCUUCACAACGGUGCACAGUUAGGGGAACACUUUCUUGAAAUUAUUAUAAGGGAUCAUCUUACUUACUACCGUCGUUCUAAGCAAAUAAGAUGUAAAACAUGAUAAACAUCACAUGCAAUCAAAUAGUGACAUGAUAUGGCCAAUAUCAUUUUGCUCCUUUGAUCUCCAUCUUUGGGGCGCCAUGAUCAUCUUCGUCACCGGCAUGACACCAUGAUCUCCAUCAUCAUGAUCUCCAUCAUCGUGUCUUCAUGAAGUUGUCACGCCAACGAUUACUUCUACUUCUAUGGCUAACGUGUUUAGCAAUAAAGUAAAGUAAUUUACAUGGCGUUAUUCAAUGACACGCAGGUCAUACAAAAAAUAAAGACAACUCCUAUGGCUCCUGCCGGUUGUCAUACUCAUCGACAUGCAAGUCGUGAUUCCUAUUAUAAGAACAUGAUCAAUCUCAUACAUCACAUAUAUCUCAUUCAUCACUUCCUUUUGGCCAUAUCACAUCACAAGGCAUAUGCGGCAAAAACAAGUUAGACGUCCUCUAAUUGUUGUUGCAAGUUUUUACGUGGCUUCUAUAGGUUUCUAGCAAGAACGUUUCUUACCUACGUAAAACCACAACGUGAUAUGCCAAUUUCUAUUUACCCUUCAUAAGGACCCUUUUCAUCGAAUCCGUUCCGACUAAAGUGGGAGAGACAGACACCCGCUAGCCACCUGAUGCAACUAGUGCAUGUCAGUCGGUGGAACCUGUCUCACGUAAGCGUAUGUGUAAGGUCGGUCCGGGCCGCUUCAUCCCACAAUACCGCCGAAACAAGAUAAGACUAGUAUUGGCAAGAAAAAUUGCCAACAUCUACGCCCACAACUGCUUUGUGUUCUACUCAUGCAUAGAAACUACGCAUAGGCCUGGCUCAUGAUGCCACUGUUGGGGAUUGUAGCAGAAAUUUAAAAUUUUCUAUGCAUCACCAAGAUCCAUCUAUGGAGUUUACUAGCAACGAGAAGGAAGGAGUGCAUCUACAUACCCUUGUAGAUCGCGAGCGGAAGCGUUCAAGUGAACGGGGUUGAUGGAGUCGUACUCGUCGUGAUCCAAAUCACCGAUGACCGAGCGCCGAACGGACGGCACCUCCGCGUUCAACACACGUACGGAGCAGCGACGUCUCCUCCUUCUUGAUCCAGCAAGGGGGAAGGAGAGGUUGAUGGAGAUCUAGCAGCACGACGGCGUGGUGGUGGAAGUAGCGGGGAUCCCGGCAGGGCUUCGCCAAGCGCAAGCGGGAGGGAGAGGUGUCACGGGAGGGAGAGGGAGGCGCCAAGGGCUGUGGUGCGGCUGCCCUCCCUCCCCCCACUAUUUAUAGGGGUCCUGGGGGGGCGCCGGCCCCCUGGAGAUCCCAUAUGAGGGGGGGCGGCGGCCAAGGGGGUGGCUUGCCCCCCAAGCCAAGUGGGGCGCCCCCACCCCCAGGGUUUCCAACCCUAGGCGCAGGGGAGGCCUAAGGGGGGCGCACCAGCCCACCAGUGUCUGGUUCCCCUCCCCACUUCAGCCCAUGGGGCCCUCCAGGGCAGGUGGCCCCAUCCGGUGGACCCCCGGGACCCUUCCGGUGGUCCCGGUACAAUACCGGUAACCCCCGAAACUUUCCCGGUGGCCGAAACUGGACUUCCUAUAUAUAAUUCUUCACCUCCGGACCAUUCCGGAACUCCUCGUGACGUCCGGGAUCUCAUCCAGGACUCCGAACAACUUUCGGGUUUCCGCAUACUAAUAUCUCUACAACCCUAGCGUCACCGAACCUUAAGUGUGUAGACCCUACGGGUUCGGGAGACAUGCAGACAUGACCGAUACGACUCUCCGGUCAAUAACCAACAGCGGGAUCUGGAUACCCAUGUUGGCUCCCACAUGUUCCACGAUGAUCUCAUCGGGUGAACCACGAUGUCGAGGAUUCAAUCAAUCCCGUAUACAAUUCCCUUUGUCAAUCGGUACGUUACUUGCCCGAGAUUCGAUCGUCGGUAUCCCAAUACCUCGUUCAAUCUCGUUACCGGCAAGUCACUUUACUCGUACCAUAAUGCAUGAUCCCGUGACCAGACACUUGGUCACAUUGAGCUCAUUAUGAUGAUGCAUUACCGAGUGGGCCCAGAGAUACCUCUCCGUCAUACGGAGUGACAAAUCCCAGUCUCGAUCCGUGUCAACCCAACAGACACUUUCAGAGAUACCUGUAGUGUACCUUUAUAUUCACCCAGUUACGUUGUGACGUUUGGUACACCCAAAGCACUCUUACGGCAUCCGGGAGUUACACGAUCUCAUGGUCUAAGGAAAAGAUACUUGACAUUGGAAAAGCUCUAGCAAACGAACUACACGAUCUUUGCGCUAUGCUUAGGAUUGGGUCUUGUCCAUCACAUCAUUCUCCUAAUGAUGUGAUCCCGUUAUCAAUGACAUCCGAUGUCCAUAGUCAGGAAACCAUGACUAUCUGUUGAUCAACGAGCUAGUCAACUAGAGGCUCACUAGGGACAUGUUGUGGUCUAUGUAUUCACACAUGUAUUACGAUUUCCGGAUAACACAAUUAUAGCAUGAACAAUAGACAAUUAUCAUGAACAAAGAAAUAUAAUAAUAACCAUUUUAUUAUUGCCUCUAGGGCAUAUUUCCAACAGCUUUGUUGCCAGUGUAAAAAACAUGUCCAUUUUGAAGAUCAAUUGGGGAUAUGCCUGUUUGAGCAAUUGUCAGGAUUGAAGAUCAAUUUUAACAAAAGUGAAUUGUUCUGUUUGGGAGAGCCAAAGAUAUAUGCUCAGUAAAAGGUUGUACACUCUUUCGGUUGAGACCGAAGGUACGUGGGUACAGAUUUUGCGUAAUAAGUGCCUGCAACCUAAGACAUUGGCCCAGGUUACCGUAAGACCCAAUGAUUUGAAGGAAAUAUGCCCUAGAGGCAAUAAUAAAGUUGUUAUUUUAUAUUUCCAUAUUCAUGAUAAAACUUUAUUAUUCAUGCUAGAAUUGUAUUGAUCAGAAACUUAAAUACAUGCGUGAAUACAUAAACAAAUACCGUGUCCCUAGUAAGCCUCUAAUAGACUAGCUAGUUGAUCAAAGAUGGUUAAGAUUUCCUAACCAUAGACAUGUGUUGUCAUUUGAUAACGGGAUCAUAUCAUUAGGAGAAUGAUGUGAUGGACAAGACCCAUCCGUUAGCUUAGCAUAUUGAUCGUUCAGUUUAUUGCUAUUGCUUUAUUAAUGUCAAAUACAUAUGAGAUUAUGCAACUCCCGGAUACCGGAGGAAUACCUUGUGUGCUAUCAAAUGUCACAACAUAACUGGUUUAUCAUAAAGAGGCUCUACAGGUAUCUCCGAAGGUGUUUGUUGAGCUGGCAUAGAUCAAGAUUAGGAUUUGUCACUCUGAGUAUCGGAGAGGUAUCUCUGGGCUCCCUCGGUAAUAUACAUCAUAAGAAGCCUUGCAAGCAAAGUGACUAAUGAGUUAGUUGCAAGAUGAUGUAUUACAGAACGAGUAAAGAGACUUGCCGGUAAUGAGAUUGAACCAGGUAUGAAGAUACCGAUGAUCGAAUCUUGAGCAAGUAACAUACCGAUGGACAAAUGGAAUUACGUAUGUUGUCAUAAGGUUUGACCGAUAAAGAUCUUCGUAGAAUAUGUGGAGCCAAUAUGGGCAUCCAAGUUUCUCUAUUGGUUAUUGACCGGAGAGGUGUCUCAGUCAUGUCUACAUAGUUCUCGAACCCGUAGGGUCCGCACGCUUAACGUUCGUUGACGAUAUAGUGUUAUAUGAGUUAUAUGAUUUGGUGACCGAAUGUUGUUCGGAGUCCCUGAUGAGAUCACGGACAUGACGAGGAGCUCAUAAAUAGUCCGGAGGUAAAGAUUGAUAUAUAGGACUGGUAUUCGGACACCGAAAGUGUUUCGGAGUUUACCGGAUGGUCAUCGGAAUAUCGGAGGGGGUAACGGACACCCCCGGGAGGGCAAUGGGCCUAUUGGACCAUUAGAGGGGAGUACACCAGCCCACAAGGGACUGGCGCACCCCCUAUGGCAGCCGCCCAAGUGGGAGAAAGGAAAGGGGGGAUUCAGCCUCCCCCUUCCUUCCGUCUCCCCCCUUUCCUUCCCCCCUCUGGCAAAUAUGGUAAGGGGCCGCCACUUGGGAAGGACCCCAAGUAGCCUUGGGCCUACUUGGGGGCGCCUCCUAGAUGCUCCCUCCUCCCCCCCCACCUAUAUAUAUGUGGGAGGGGGCACCACACAUAACCACGACAAUUGCUUAGCCGUGUGCGGCGUCCCUCUCCACCGUUUACACCCUCGGUCAUAUUUUUGUAGUGCUUAGGCGAAGCCCUACGGAGAUAGCUUCAUCAUCACCGUCACCACGCCAUCGUGCUGCCGGAACUCAUCCACUACUUCGCCGUCUUGCUAGAUCAAGAAGGCGAGGACGUCACUGAGCUGAACGUGUGCUGAAUGCGGAGGUGUCGUACGUUCGGUACUCGAUCGGUUGGAUCGCGAAGAAGUUCGACUACAUCAACCGUGUUACUAAAUGCUUCCGCUUACGGUCUACGAGGGUACUUAGACACACUCUCCCCUCUCGUUGCUAUGCAUCUCCUUGAUAAAUCUUGCGUGUGCGUAGAAUUUUUUUUGUUUUCCAUGCAACGCUUCCCAACAUGAUUCACCUUUCCGAAAGCAGUUAAUGAGGACGAAAGCAGCCUUUUUUCAUAGGACUAAAUUCAUCAUUGGGAACAGUAAUUUGACUAGAUUCUGGGAGGAUACAUGGUUAGGGGAGACGCCUGUAGCCACACAAUAUCCGUCUCUUUAUAAUAUUCUACAUCGUAAGGGCGCUUAUGUUGCUAUAGUAUUAUAGUAUGUUUCUCUAAACAUCCAGUUCAGGAGGUCCUUAGUAGGAGACCGAUGGGACGCGUGGCUAUAUCUUGUGCGGAGGCUGAUGGACAUUCACCUCUCUGAUGAGCCAGAUUCGAUUCACUGGAAACUAUCUAUGAAUAGAGUUUUUCAGUGAAAUCUAUGUAUCUAGACUUAACUAAUUCUAGUCCAAUUCCAAAAUCAUUACAUAUUUGGAAGAUUAAAGUACCUUUAAGAAUCAAAAUCUUCAUGUGGCUUGUUCACAAGGAGGUGAUUUAGACUAAGGAUAACUUGGCAAAGCGAAGAUGGGAGGGUAGUAAGCGAUGUUGCUUUUGUGAUCAGGAUGAAACUAUUAAAAACCUCUUUCUCGAUUGUCCUCUUGCCAAACUUUUAUGGCAUACAGUUCAUAUAGCCUUUAAUGUCAGCUCUCCAAAUAGUAUUAACACAUUAUUUGAGGAGCUAUUUUACGGUAUCUUGGUACUCCCAAAACAUGUGCUGGAGUACCGAACAGAUCUUGCCGUUCGUUGUGAAGGGUAACUUAGUUAUUUUCCCACGGGUACUUCCGAUAUUCUCCCUGUGAUCUCGCAUGGAUGCCAAAUACAGCUCCCAAAAGAAAAACAAAAACUCCAGAUUGAGUGCCAGAAAAAGCUCCCGUUCGUUCGGCCGGAAAUCCCGAUCGCUCGGUGCCUAGCAAUGGAGUGGCCGCGCCACCUCAAACCUGAUCCUUCGCUACCGCAAGCCGCCCUGCUGCGCCGCCCGUCGAGCCGCCACCGGCCAACCCCUGUACUGCGCCAUGGUUGCGGAAACGAGUCCUCGAUCAGCUUCACGGCAUAGAUCUUGUUCCGGCUCGUCCCAGACGCGGAUGCUUUCCCGUUACUCACCUACGAAGGACGUGCAUAGCCCGCCGGCAUGGGCUCAUCCCGGCAUCUCCAGACGCUGCGUGCAUAUCAAUAUACUACGUUUUGCUUGUAAUUGAAAAAAAAGACGCCAGAAUACAUGGGAGGUUACGAGGGGAACCACGAAUAUGAAAUAAUAUUAGAAUGUUAUAUAUGAUUACGGUUUUGCCCCUUAAAUCAAGGUACUCCAGUACUUUUUAACUUAGUACUCCGUUGGAUGAGUGAUGGAGUACCAAGCAAUACUGUCCACUGGAUCAAGAGAAAUGUACGGUCUAUAUUUAUUUCGGGGUACUGUAAAAGAUCUCUAUUUGAGAGGUGGCUAAAUGGAGUGGAACCAAACUAUGCGGGACAUAUCCGGAUAGGAGUAUGCGCAUUACUUUGGGCUAUAUGGAACUGCAGAAAUGAAAUAAUUUUUAAAGUCAAACUCAUAUAAAUAUUUUGCAGGUUAUCUACAGGGCCACUGCAUGGUUCCAUAUGUGGUCAUUACUCACUCUUGCGGAAGCCAGGGAGCAUUUGGCUAUUGGGUGUACCCGGUGAAAGAUAGUAGCAAAGGGUACUUACAACCGGUUUGGAUGUCAAUCCAAUAAUAAGCAAGGUGUUUAGUCAUCUCAACCUAUUUUCACCGGUUGUUGUCAACUUUUAUUUGCUCUUCUUCCUUUUUAGCUCCAUGUGAGCUUGUAUUGAACCGCGGACAUUUUGGUACUUUUGCUUAAUAUAUUAUGGCUGCAUGAAUCAGUCUGAUGUAGAGGCCGGGGAUGACCCUCCUUUUCAAAAAUAAAGUCAAAGCGUCUUCGGCUCGCUUCAGUGCUUAUAGUUGUUGCUAGGUGGUCUACGAAUCUGGAUGUAGUUUUAUUAUUUCUUGUGUUCGUUGUAUUACCAUGAUUGGAGAUGGAUAGAUCAGAAGUUUCCCGCAAAAUAAUAAGAAUUGCCAUAAGUUUAGUAUCGGAAAAAGUUAGCAUGAAAAGAUCAAGACGUGCCUAGCUUAGCUUGUAAACAAUACAAUGGAGUGGUUGGUAAUCGGCCAGCAUUGUUUAUGUGACACUCCCCUUUUAAUCUGUUUUGCUGAUUGAGCACUGAGAGCCACGAUCUCAGUGGAUCGUUUAUUGCCAAAGUGAAUGUUCGGAAGGUCCCAACCCCGUGAAUUACAAUAAUCAGGUAGUACAAUGAUAGGUCUGCUCUUGACGUCUUCUUGGUGAGCAUAAAAUAGGCCAAAGAAUACGAGUGACAUGCAACUAAGUAUUGUAAUGACGUAGUACAAUAAUCAGGUAGAACAUACUGUGUUUCUUCUCUCCGAGAGAUGGCCGGACAUGCGGGCAGAUCCAGUGUUCCUCCAAAAAAAAGUCCAUGUUGCCUUCAAGUGAGACGGAACUGUUAUUUUCAACAAAUAUACUCCGUGUCAUGGCACACCACCUUGCAGGUUAUUAUCAGACAGAUCCAGAUGGGUGAGCUGCUUUAAGCCGCCAAGCUCUAUUGGGAUGAAGCCCCAAAAAUUGUUUCGCUGAAGGAUUAGGUAUUCUAACUGUUCAAGAUUACCAAAAGAACCUGGAACUUGACCAAUGAAAUUGUUGGAAGAAAAGUUUAACAGUCUUAGCCCUGAAAUAUUGCCUAGUGAAGCAGGGAGAUGACCUUCAAAAUUGUUAUUGUCCAAACAGAGAUGUUUAAGAUCUGGGAAGGUGUCACCAAAGUUCGAUGGCAGUGUUUUUCCAAGCAUAUUGGAAUAUAAGUAUAAAUAUUGGAGAGAAGACUGAUUGUAUUUGUACAGGGUUUCUGGUAUUCCACCUGAUAGCAUAUUUCCAGCAAGGCCUAAAUAAACAAGAGAUGGGAAACUUCCCAUCUCAUCAGGAAUGGUUAUUGACCGGAGAGGUGUCUCAGUCAUGUCUACAUAGUUCUCGAACCCGUAGGGUCCGCACGCUUAACGUUCGUUGACGAUAUAGUGUUAUAUGAGUUAUAUGAUUUGGUGACCGAAUGUUGUUCGGAGUCCCUGAUGAGAUCACGGACAUGACGAGGAGCUCAUAAAUAGUCCGGAGGUAAAGAUUGAUAUAUAGGACUGGUAUUCGGACACCGAAAGUGUUUCGGAGUUUACCGGAUGGUCAUCGGAAUAUCGGAGGGGGUAACGGACACCCCCGGGAGGGCAAUGGGCCUAUUGGACCAUUAGAGGGGAGUACACCAGCCCACAAGGGACUGGCGCACCCCCUAUGGCAGCCGCCCAAGUGGGAGAAAGGAAAGGGGGGAUUCAGCCUCCCCCUUCCUUCCGUCUCCCCCCUUUCCUUCCCCCCUCUGGCAAAUAUGGUAAGGGGCCGCCACUUGGGAAGGACCCCAAGUAGCCUUGGGCCUACUUGGGGGCGCCUCCUAGAUGCUCCCUCCUCCCCCCCCCACCUAUAUAUAUGUGGGAGGGGGCACCACACAUAACCACGACAAUUGCUUAGCCGUGUGCGGCGUCCCUCUCCACCGUUUACACCCUCGGUCAUAUUUUUGUAGUGCUUAGGCGAAGCCCUACGGAGAUAGCUUCAUCAUCACCGUCACCACGCCAUCGUGCUGCUGGAACUCAUCCACUACUUCGCCGUCUUGCUAGAUCAAGAAGGCGAGGACGUCACUGAGCUGAACGUGUGCUGAAUGCGGAGGUGUCGUACGUUCGGUACUCGAUCGGUUGGAUCGCGAAGAAGUUCGACUACAUCAACCGUGUUACUAAAUGCUUCCGCUUACGGUCUACGAGGGUACUUAGACACACUCUCCCCUCUCGUUGCUAUGCAUCUCCUUGAUAAAUCUUGCGUGUGCGUAGAAUUUUUUUUGUUUUCCAUGCAACGCUUCCCAACAUGAUUCACCUUUCCGAAAGCAGUUAAUGAGGACGAAAGCAGCCUUUUUUCAUAGGACUAAAUUCAUCAUUGGGAACAGUAAUUUGACUAGAUUCUGGGAGGAUACAUGGUUAGGGGAGACGCCUGUAGCCACACAAUAUCCGUCUCUUUAUAAUAUUCUACAUCGUAAGGGCGCUUAUGUUGCUAUAGUAUUAUAGUAUGUUUCUCUAAACAUCCAGUUCAGGAGGUCCUUAGUAGGAGACCGAUGGGACGCGUGGCUAUAUCUUGUGCGGAGGCUGAUGGACAUUCACCUCUCUGAUGAGCCAGAUUCGAUUCACUGGAAACUAUCUAUGAAUAGAGUUUUUCAGUGAAAUCUAUGUAUCUAGACUUAACUAAUUCUAGUCCAAUUCCAAAAUCAUUACAUAUUUGGAAGAUUAAAGUACCUUUAAGAAUCAAAAUCUUCAUGUGGCUUGUUCACAAGGAGGUGAUUUAGACUAAGGAUAACUUGGCAAAGCGAAGAUGGGAGGGUAGUAAGCGAUGUUGCUUUUGUGAUCAGGAUGAAACUAUUAAAAACCUCUUUCUCGAUUGUCCUCUUGCCAAACUUUUAUGGCAUACAGUUCAUAUAGCCUUUAAUGUCAGCUCUCCAAAUAGUAUUAACACAUUAUUUGAGGAGCUAUUUUACGGUAUCUUGGUACUCCCAAAACAUGUGCUGGAGUACCGAACAGAUCUUGCCGUUCGUUGUGAAGGGUAACUUAGUUAUUUUCCCACGGGUACUUCCGAUAUUCUCCCUGUGAUCUCGCAUGGAUGCCAAAUACAGCUCCCAAAAGAAAAACAAAAACUCCAGAUUGAGUGCCAGAAAAAGCUCCCGUUCGUUCGGCCGGAAAUCCCGAUCGCUCGGUGCCUAGCAAUGGAGUGGCCGCGCCACCUCAAACCUGAUCCUUCGCUACCGCAAGCCGCCCUGCUGCGCCGCCCGUCGAGCCGCCACCGGCCAACCCCUGUACUGCGCCAUGGUUGCGGAAACGAGUCCUCGAUCAGCUUCACGGCAUAGAUCUUGUUCCGGCUCGUCCCAGACGCGGAUGCUUUCCCGUUACUCACCUACGAAGGACGUGCAUAGCCCGCCGGCAUGGGCUCAUCCCGGCAUCUCCAGACGCUGCGUGCAUAUCAAUAUACUACGUUUUGCUUGUAAUUGAAAAAAAAGACGCCAGAAUACAUGGGAGGUUAUGAGGGGAACCACGAAUAUGAAAUAAUAUUAGAAUGUUAUAUAUGAUUACGGUUUUGCCCCUUAAAUCAAGGUACUCCAGUACUUUUUAACUUAGUACUCCGUUGGAUGAGUGAUGGAGUACCAAGCAAUACUGUCCACUGGAUCAAGAGAAAUGUACGGUCUAUAUUUAUUUCGGGGUACUGUAAAAGAUCUCUAUUUGAGAGGUGGCUAAAUGGAGUGGAACCAAACUAUGCGGGACAUAUCCGGAUAGGAGUAUGCGCAUUACUUUGGGCUAUAUGGAACUGCAGAAAUGAAAUAAUUUUUAAAGUCAAACUCAUAUAAAUAUUUUGCAGGUUAUCUACAGGGCCACUGCAUGGUUCCAUAUGUGGUCAUUACUCACUCUUGCGGAAGCCAGGGAGCAUUUGGCUAUUGGGUGUACCCGGUGAAAGAUAGUAGCAAAGGGUACUUACAACCGGUUUGGAUGUCAAUCCAAUAAUAAGCAAGGUGUUUAGUCAUCUCAACCUAUUUUCACCGGUUGUUGUCAACUUUUAUUUGCUCUUCUUCCUUUUUAGCUCCAUGUGAGCUUGUAUUGAACCGCGGACAUUUUGGUACUUUUGCUUAAUAUAUUAUGGCUGCAUGAAUCAGUCUGAUGUAGAGGCCGGGGAUGACCCUCCUUUUCAAAAAUAAAGUCAAAGCGUCUUCGGCUCGCUUCAGUGCUUAUAGUUGUUGCUAGGUGGUCUACGAAUCUGGAUGUAGUUUUAUUAUUUCUUGUGUUCGUUGUAUUACCAUGAUUGGAGAUGGAUAGAUCAGAAGUUUCCCGCAAAAUAAUAAGAAUUGCCAUAAGUUUAGUAUCGGAAAAAGUUAGCAUGAAAAGAUCAAGACGUGCCUAGCUUAGCUUGUAAACAAUACAAUGGAGUGGUUGGUAAUCGGCCAGCAUUGUUUAUGUGACACUCCCCUUUUAAUCUGUUUUGCUGAUUGAGCACUGAGAGCCACGAUCUCAGUGGAUCGUUUAUUGCCAAAGUGAAUGUUCGGAAGGUCCCAACCCCGUGAAUUACAAUAAUCAGGUAGUACAAUGAUAGGUCUGCUCUUGACGUCUUCUUGGUGAGCAUAAAAUAGGCCAAAGAAUACGAGUGACAUGCAACUAAGUAUUGUAAUGACGUAGUACAAUAAUCAGGUAGAACAUACUGUGUUUCUUCUCUCCGAGAGAUGGCCGGACAUGCGGGCAGAUCCAGUGUUCCUCCAAAAAAAAGUCCAUGUUGCCUUCAAGUGAGACGGAACUGUUAUUUUCAACAAAUAUACUCCGUGUCAUGGCACACCACCUUGCAGGUUAUUAUCAGACAGAUCCAGAUGGGUGAGCUGCUUUAAGCCGCCAAGCUCUAUUGGGAUGAAGCCCCAAAAAUUGUUUCGCUGAAGGAUUAGGUAUUCUAACUGUUCAAGAUUACCAAAAGAACCUGGAACUUGACCAAUGAAAUUGUUGGAAGAAAAGUUUAACAGUCUUAGCCCUGAAAUAUUGCCUAGUGAAGCAGGGAGAUGACCUUCAAAAUUGUUAUUGUCCAAACAGAGAUGUUUAAGAUCUGGGAAGGUGUCACCAAAGUUCGAUGGCAGUGUUUUUCCAAGCAUAUUGGAAUAUAAGUAUAAAUAUUGGAGAGAAGACUGAUUGUAUUUGUACAGGGUUUCUGGUAUUCCACCUGAUAGCAUAUUUCCAGCAAGGCCUAAAUAAACAAGAGAUGGGAAACUUCCCAUCUCAUCAGGAAUGGUUCCCAUGAACCUAUUAUCAGUAAGCACGAUGUCUUCAAGCUGACUAUUGUUUCUUAGGCUUGGUGGGAUUGUUCCGGUGAGAUUAUUUGAGGAAAGCCAUACUUUCCUUAGAUUGGAUAGGCGACCUAUACCUAGGGGAAUUUCACCCAUUAGUAAGUUGGCAGAUAGGUCUAGGCUCCUUAGCUUGGAGCAGUUUGUGAGAGUAUCUGGAAUGGUCCCUCGCAGUGAGUUCUUUCCCAAGUCAAGGUAUUCCAGUCUGUGGAGACGGUUGAGAGGAGGUAACUCACCGGUGAAGCCAUUUUUGGACAGGUCCAGUGUCCUAAGGAACGUUAGGUUGCCAAGGGAGGAGGAUAUCCGGCCAAACAACCCUCGUUGUCUGAGGUAGAGCUUAGUGACUCGCCCCGAGCUGCAGUGGACGCCCUCCCAACUGCAAAGAGGGAAGCUGGUGUGCCAAGAUGUCAAGGCUUGUCUUGAGUCGUUGGUGAUGGCCCGCUUGAAAUCUAGCAGUGAGAUCAUGUCCGUGCUGUUAUCAUGGACUGUUGUCAUUGAUGAGCAGAGGAUGCUCCCGACUCCGCAAGAAAUGAGCAGCAACGGCAGUAGCAUAAGCAUGGUGGCGAGCCUUGCCGCUUGACUAAUGGCCAUGUCACCUGCAAAAUAAAGUUUGAAUGAAGAAUAAAACAUUGUGCGUACUAUGUUUACUGCAAGUUUGGUCAUUGCGUGCAUCAAUUGAUACACAAGCAUGCACCUUGCAUAUCUUGUUUUCAAAGAGAGAAAAAAAACUUAUGAGUAGGUCAUGAACAAUACUACUAGGUUUUGUGAGCUUGCUCUCAUGAACAACACUAAUAGUUUUCAUGAUCCAAUGGGGGGAAAUAUUAGAAGUAGAACCCAUGUGAAAAAUAUUAGUUUUGCCUUUUGUGAGAUUUUUGUUUUUGACAGUCAAGAAGAUGUAAGAAGCAGUACUAAGUACUAACUACUAACUGAGUAAGUAAUCAGGAUUCAGGAGGAGGAGGCACCUUUGCCCAAGAGAGAGUGGCUAGGGCACCUUUGCUCGGCCGAAUCACACGGAACGGCAGCCUCUCUUGCAUGGUUUUGCCGCCGCCGGCCGGGCUCUGAGGUGUGUCAGCCGUGAAGCCUGUGAGUUGAGUUGGAGGUUGGAACGCUGGACGCUCAAAUGGACGCUCAACUUGCUUUGCUUGCAGGUGUUUUAAAGAAAGAAACCACGCUCACAGUUACGUCCACACACCUGCAAGAAUACUCUCACGCACGGCUCAGUCCUUCUCAGCUGGAAUCAGACAGAGAUGCUCUCCUUUGGCCCUUACUGCUUGUUAGAGUAUGAUUUGUAAUCAUCUCCUGCCUUAUCUCUAGGAGAGACUUAUUGUCCUUCAAGCCUUGUACUCUGUAUAAAUCGCCCGAAGGCUCAAUACAACACCCAUCAUAUUCUCUCAAUCUCUCUUUAUUCCCUUCUAACAUGGUAUCAUCCUAGUCGGUCCAAACCCUAGCCGCCUCCCACUGCUUCCGCCCCGCGGCGCGCCCCUGGGGCGGUCGGCCUCCAUGACGGCCGCCGGGGGCCGCGCCGCCCAUACCUAGGGUUCUUCUACCGGUCGCGUUGACCGGUGCCCUAGAGAGUCUUUUUCUCAAUCCUUUGAUCCGGUUUUUUUUAUCUCUCGCCGGUCGCUUUGAUCGACGUUUCCUUUUUGGUUUUCAGAUCUAUGAUCUUUCUUUGCUUAUUCGUAAUUCAUUCAAAUUAUGACACCUCAGAUGGUAUUGUGCGUCUCGCAUGGCAUAUAGGCGUAUAUUGUGUGCAUAGUAUCGCCGCCUGGAGCACAUAUUGCUUAAUAGAGACAGCGAUCGGCUUGCAAUAUUAACUCUACGCCCACAUGCAGCUGGCAACAAUAUUAUGUUAGAAGCCCACUUGCAGCCGGCCACUAGAAGACAUUUUUACAUGUCUAGCAGAUUUUCUGGUAUUUUGAUUCCAAUCAGAUAAGGUUGAAAGAUCAAGUGGAAGUUUCUAAAUGCUUUUCUGGAGUAGAGUAGAUCAAACAUUAUUGUCCCAACUCUCAAGAGAAAGAAUAAAAGUGUUAUUGUCCAGGCCAUCCCCAUCGUCGCACCGCGUCACAUGGGCUUAAUUUUGUCACCAUUUGCAACAUGUUUACUAGUACUAUACAAUGCAAUGACGCAUCUUGCUGACAACACGUACUAUAUCAUAUAGAAGUACUACUAGAGACAACAAGGUCGCUUGACUAAUAAGCUGAAGCUGUGAUAUAUAAUUAGCAUUUGGCAAGCUAGACAGCAUUGUAAAACAACGCCUAGCUGUUAGACAGAGGAGUCCAGCUUUUUCAAAAAAUCAUGUUGAGGAUGUUGAGGAUGCAACGACACAAUAUUAAAAAAUAGUUGAGAUGUUGAGGAUGCACAUAGUUAAGAAGAUAAAACAAAAAGGGUAAAAAACAAAAAGAGUCACGCAACUAACGACACACGACUAAACAACUACACCACCACCAAUGUCCUGGACAAUAGACGAACCACAUGCAAGGUUCUCUGAAAGCAACGCCUCCAGAAAAGGAACACUGCCCAAGCACCGCUAUAGCCCGAUCCGGGUGUUGAAUGCCGGAUCUUGGGGUUUUACCGUGAAGAGCACGUCUAAGAAAUCUAUGCCUUCCAACAAAGUGCGGAGCGUAAACUCCGUCAUUGAAGGAUGCAACCAAUGAUUGUCAGACGGAGGAGUCCAGCUAAUUGAAAGAAUCUAUUGCGUUGUGCAACCAUAGUUGCGGACUAUGUCAAGUCUUACUCUUGUGUCGAAGCAUGCAAUAAUGGUAACAACAUACAUAUAAAGAAGGAAGACUCCACGUUGCUCAUAUUUUAAAGAGUGAAUUCCGAUUUUUACCCCCUAUUUGACAUUUUUUACACAAAUUACCCCAUUUAGCGAAAUUUCAUCCGUUUGGCCCUAUUUAGCAGAAGUUCUGCCACGAUUUACCCUAUUUAAAAUUUUACGAGUGUUCUGACCGGCAAGGUCCCAAUUGUCAGGUCCAGCCGGCAUGCCACAUCGACGAGUUUUUCUGCCUAUUUUUCUCUCUGCUGAACAGUCCUCGCAGCUUCUCCCGAUGGAGGUCCCUCACGUUGCAGGUAAAAAACCAUUGAUGUGGCAUGCCACAUGGACCUGACAAUUCAGACCUGCUCAUCAGAACACUCACAAUAUUUUAAAUAGUGUAAAUUGCGGCAGAACUAUUGCUAAACGGCGCAAAACGGAUGAAAUCCCACCAAAUGGGGUAAUUAGUGUCAAAAAUGUCAAAAUAGGGGAUAAAAACCGGAAUUCAUUCUUUUUCUAAAAGAGAGUUUCCUCCCCGAAUUCAUUUACCAGAAUCUAGUGUUCGUUACAGGCCCGCUAAGUCCAACUGAGCGGAAGGAAAAGAGUAGAGACAUCCCAUGACCAAGAAGCCUCUCUCUAACGGGACGAAACACCAAAGCCUGCUGGUGUCCACCCACGCAAUGUUCAAGGUUAUGAUCCGAGCCAGAGUAUAGCGUGCAAGGUGGAUGGGAAUUAAGAAGAGAUUUUUUUUUUCAAAAUGGUGGAAAAUUUCCACAACCUAUAGAUCAGAUAAUGACGAAACAGCAAGCGGAAGUUUCUUUGCGACUGCUACUAUACUCAAGGACGUACUUGAUUGCUAUAUUUAUAAGCAAAGUCUUCCUUUCGAACAGACAAUAUUGUCCCACCGCUAAAGAAAGGGAGAAAAGAAAAGUGUAGCUGUCCAGGCCAUCCCCAUCUUACCGUACCGGGUAACACGGGCUUACCAUUUGCAACAUGUCUAAAAACAAUAUAAUGAUGUACACAUCUCGCCAACAACCGAUAUCAUAUAAGAUUGCUACGCUGGAGACAACAAGUUCGCUUUACUAAGCUAUGAUAUAUAACCGGCAAUUGCUAUCUAGCAUUGCCAAACAAGAAGUACCUAGCUGUUAGAUACAGGAGACCAGCUAAUUCAAGGAAGGAAUCCCCUGCUUUGGCUGCCAUAGGUGUAGACUAUGCCAAGUCUAACUCUUGCAUACGAUGCAAACAAGUAAUGAUAAACAUGGAAAAAGAUGCCAGACCUUGUUGUGUCUUUUGUAAAGCGAGUUUUCUCUCCGAUUUCUUUUACCGGAAACCAACUUCCAUUACAGACCCCACGACCCCACUAGUACAACUAAUACGAAUAGGAAAAGGAGCAGAGACGGGAUGUCCCUUCAGCGAGGAGCCUAUGUCUAAGGCAAGUCAUAAUGAAGAGUAAAUUAGACUAGUGUCAUACAUAUGAUACCAGUUUAUCGUUACCUUCAUAGUGCAAAGUCCUUCCUCCCUUCCUAAAUAUAAGUCUUUGUAGAGAUUCCACUAUAGACCCAUAUGGGUCCAUAGUGGAAUCUCUACAAAGACUUAUGUUUAGGAACGGAGGGAGUAUCAUAGAUGGUCGCAUUUAUUAGCUUUUAAACUUAGUUUUUUUAAAUGUUAUGUGAUGGUAACAUAAAUUGUCUUGGCGGCGCCACUGAUUUUUGAAUCAUCUACACCAGUUUUGAGUGCCCACUUCCGCAUCAAGAAAAUCAGCAGCCGGAAAGUAAACCGCCUUUAGUAUCCGUGAACUCGGUGAUUCUUGAUCUUGCAAUAUUCUCCAUGCCCGCCUGGCUAGCAACGAGAGGUUGAAAAGCUCCAUGUCACGAAAGCCUAGACCUCGUCUGUAUUUCGGCAUGGACAUGGAAUCCCAAGACACCAAUGCGGUUUUCCGUUCACCCCCUUUGCUGCGCCACCAAAAUUUCCGGAUCAUGGACGUAAUACACUUGCACAGGCCCCUUGGUAGUUUGAACAUUGACGUGGAAUAUGUAGAAAUGGCUUGCACAAUAGACUUGAUUAGGACCUCUUUGCCCCUGCCUGGUAGCAUCUUCUCCAUCCAUCCUUGUACACGCCUCCAUAUCCGUUCUUUGAUAUACGAGAAAGUUCCAUUCUUCUCACGUCCAACAUCCAAUGGUAAACCGAGAUAUCUUUCAUUCAAUGACUCAUUUGUUAUCCCCGGUCUGGGCAGCCUUUGACAAAAAACAAUAAUGACUUUUGGGUUGCUUNNNNNNNNNNNNNNNNNNNNNNNNNNNNNNNNNNNNNNNNNNNNNNNNNNNNNNNNNNNNNNNNNNNNNNNNNNNNNNNNNNNNNNNNNNNNNNNNNNNNNNNNNNNNNNNNNNNNNNNNNNNNNNNNNNNNNNNNNNNNNNNNNNNNNNNNNNNNNNNNNNNNNNNNNNNNNNNNNNNNNNNNNNNNNNNNNNNNNNNNNNNNNNNNNNNNNNNNNNNNNNNNNNNNNNNNNNNNNNNNACUGUCCAAGUCAUUAUAAUUUGUUGCCAUAAGUUCAUUAUCAGAAAAAGUCAGCAUGACAAAACCAAGACGCAGCCUAGCAUAGCUUGUAAACAAUACAAUGGGAGUGGUUGGCAAUCCGCCAGCAUGGUUUAUUUGAAACUGCCCUUUUAACAUGUUUUGCUGAUUGUUGAGCACUAAGAGCCACAGUCUCGCCGGAUCAUUUAUUCCCAAAGUGAAGGUUUGGAAGGUCCCAACCCCAUGAAUUACACACAGCACCCCCAAAAAAAGAAUGAUAGGUUUGCUCCUGACAUCUUGGGAGCAUAAAAUAGGCCACAUAAUAUGAGUGACAAACCAAGUAUUGUAAUGAGUAGUCCAAUAAUCAGGUAGCUAGCACAUACUGUGUUUCUUCUCUCCGAGAGAUGGCGGGACAUGGGAGCAGAUCCAGUGUUCCUCCAAAAGAUGUCUAUGUUGCCUCCAAGUGAGACGGAACUGUUAUUUUCAACAAACACUCCGUGUCAUGGCACACCACCUUGCAGAUUAUUAUCAGACAGAUCCAGAUGGGUGAGCUGCUUUAAGUCGCCAAGCUCUAUUGGGAUGAAGCCCCAAAAGUUGUUUCGCUGAAGGAUUAGGUAUUCUAACAGUGCAAGAUAACCAAAAGAAUCUGGAACUUGACCAAUGAAAUUGUUGGAAGACAAGUUUAACAGCCUUAGCCUUGAAAUAUUGCCUAGUGAAGCAGGGAGAUGACCUUCAAAAUUGUUAUUGUCCAAACAGAGAUGUUUAAGAUCCGGGAAGGUGUCACCAAAGUUCGAUGGCAGUGUUUUCCCAAGCAUAUUGGAAUAUAAGUAUAAAUAUUGGAGAGAAGACUGAUUGUAUUUGUACAAGGUUUCUGGAAUUCCACCCGAUAGCAUAUUUCCAGCAAGGUCUAAAUAAACAAGAGAUGGGAAAAUUCCCAUCUCAUCAGGAAUGGUUCCCGUAAGCUUAUUAUCAGUAAGCACGAUUUCUUCAAGCUGACUAAUGUUUUUUAGGCUUGGUGGGAUUUUUCCGGUGAGAUUAUUUGAGGAAAGCCAUACUUCCCUUAGAUCGGAUAGGCGACCUAUACCAAGGGGAAUUUCACCCAUUAGUAAGUUGGCAGAUAGGUCUAGGAUCCAUAGCUUGGAGCAGUUUGUGAGAGUAUCUGGAAUGGUCCCUCGCAGUGAGUUGCUUCCCAAGUCAAUGUAUUCCAAUCUGUUGAGACGGUUGAGAGGAGGUAACUCGCCGGUGAAGCCAUUUUUGGACAGGUCCAGUGUCCUAAGAAACGUUAGGUUGCCAAGGGAGGGGAAUAUCCGGCCCAACAACCCUCGUCCAUUGAGGUACAGCUUAGUGACUCGCCCCGAGCUGCAGUGGACGC